UAAGUGGGAAACGAUGUGGGAAGGCACAGACAGCCAGGAUGUUGGCUUAGAAGCAGCCAUCAUUUAAAGAAAGCGUAAUAGCUCACUGGUCGAGUCGGCCUGCGCGGAAGAUGUAACGGGGCUAAACCAUGCACCGAAGCUGCGGCAGCGACACUAUGUGUUGUUGGGUAGGGGAGCGUUCUGUAAGCCUGCGAAGGUGACCUGUGAGGGUUGCUGGAGGUAUCAGAAGUGCGAAUGCUGACAUAAGUAACGAUAAAGCGGGUGAAAAGCCCGCUCGCCGGAAGACCAAGGGUUCCUGUCCAACGUUAAUCGGGGCAGGGUGAGUCGACCCCUAAGGCGAGGCCGAAAGGCGUA
rnacentral:rRNA from 1 species